UAUCAUAUAAAUUUAUAAGAACUUGUGUAAUAAUUUCCUCGAUUGGUAUUGGAUUUUAUCUAAUAUAUUUUAAUAAGAAGAAAAGAAAUUGCAUAGAUAUUAUUAAAGGAUACUUUGGUCUUAAAAUUUCCCAAAUCACCAUGGACUUGGAAAUGUAUAUGCCGCUUACCUUCAUGUUUAGCUCCUGAACUUCUUUAUAUAUGUUCAGGCCAAAAUAUCCCACAUUAAAAAUAUAAAUAGACAUAUGCGCCGCCGGUUAAAUACGACGUCCCCGAUGAUUUUUGACGACGCCGAUGUAAAAAUGGGCGACAUGGCGGUGUGAUACAUAUUUUUUAUUAUUAAAUUAAUAUUUAUUUUUUAUAUUAUUUAUGAAUUGUAAUUAGAAGAAAAAUAAUAUUAAAUAUUUUUGAAUUAUUAAAAAAUGCUAUUUUAUUUUUUAAAAUUAAUAAAUUUUGUUUGCUA